UACAGAGGUCCCAAGCGUUGUUCGGAUUCAUUGGGCGUAAAGGGUGCGUAGGCGGCGCGGUAAGUCGGGUGUGAAAUCUUGGAGCUUAACUCCGAAACUGCAUUCGAUACUGCCGUGCUUGAGGGUUGGAGAGGAGAUCGGAAUUCACGGUGUAGCAGUGAAAUGCGUAGAUAUCGUGAGGAAGACCAGUGGCGAAGGCGGAUCUCUGGAACAAAUCCUGACGCUGAGGCGCGAAGGCUAGGGGAGCGAAACGGG
rnacentral:rRNA from 1 species